GAGUUUGAUGCUGGCUCAUAACGAACGCUGGCGGCAGGCCUAACACAUGCAAGUCGAACGCUUCAGCAAUGAAGAGUGGCAGACGGGUGAGUAACGCGUGGGAACCUUCCCAGUGGUACGGAGUAGCCCAGGGAAACUUGGGGUAAUACCGUAUAAGCCCUUAGGGGGAAAGAUUUAUCGCCAUUGGAUGGGCCCGCGUCGGAUUAGCUUGUUGGUGAGGUAAAAGCUCACCAAGGCGACGAUCCGUAGCUGGUCUGAGAGGAUGAUCAGCCACACUGGGACUGAGACACGGCCCAGACUCCUACGGGAGGCAGCAGUGGGGAAUAUUGGACAAUGGGCGCAAGCCUGAUCCAGCCAUGCCGCGUGAGUGACGAAGGCCUUAGGGUUGUAAAGCUCUUUUGGCGGGGACGAUAAUGACGGUACCCGCAUAAUAAGCUCCGGCUAACUUCUGGCCAACAGCCGCGGUGAUACGAAGGGAGCUAGCGUUGUUCAGAAUUACUGGGCGUAAAGCGCACGUACGCGGACUUGUUAGUCAUGGGUGAAAUCCCGGGGCCCAACCUCGGAACUGCCUUUGAUACUGCAAGUCUGGAGUCCGGAAGAGGUGGGUGGAAUUCCUAGUGUAUACGUGAAAUUCGUAGAUAUUANGAAGAACACCGGUGGCGAACGCGGACAACUGGUCGCGUACUGACACUGACGUGGUAACGCGUGCGGAGCAAACGGAAUAGAUACCCUGUAGUCACGUCGUAAACGAUGGAGCUACCUGUCGUAAGCUUGCUGUC
rnacentral:rRNA from 1 species